rnacentral:rRNA from 1 species
UACGUAGGGUGCAAGCGUUGUCCGGAAUUAUUGGGCGUAAAGAGCUUGUAGGCGGUUUGUCGCGUCUGCUGUGAAAUUUCGGGGCUCAACCCCGAACUUGCAGUGGGUACGGGCAGACUAGAGUGUGGUAGGGGAGACUGGAAUUCCUGGUGUAGCGGUGAAAUGCGCAGAUAUCGGGAGGAACACCGGUGGCGAAGGCGGUUCUCUGGGCCUUACCUGACGCUGAGGAGCGAAAGCGU